rnacentral:rRNA from 1 species
GAUGAACGCUGGCGGCGUGCCUAAUACAUGCAAGUCGAGCGAACAGACGAGGCGCUUGCUCCUCUGUCGUUAGCGGCGGACGGGUGAGUAACGCGUGGAUACUCUACCUGUCAGACUGGGAUAUCUUCGGGACACCGGAGCUAACAGCGGAUAAUCUAUUGAACCGCAUGGUUCAAUGGUGAGAGACGGUUUUGGUGUCUCUUCUCGCUGGAUCCGCGCCGUAUUAGCUAGUUGGUAAGGUCACGGCUUAUCAAGGCAACGAGGCGUAGCCGACCUGAGAGGGGGAUCGGCCGCACUGGAACGUGGACACGCACCAGACGCCUACGGGAGGCAGCAGUAGGGAAUCGUCCGCAAUGGGCGAAAGCAUUACGGAGCAAGGCCGCGUGAGUGAUGAAGGUCUUCGGAGCGGAAAACUCUGUUAUUAGUGAAGAACAAAUGUGUAAGUAACUAUGCACGUCUUGACGGUACUUAAUAAGAAAGCCCCGGCUAACUACGUG